AGGGCACCACCAGGAGUGGAGCCUGCGGCUUAAUUUGACUCAACACGGGAAAACUCACCCGGCCCGGACACUGGAAGGAUUGACAGAUUGAGAGCUCUUUCUUGAUUCAGUGGGUGGUGGUGCAUGGCCGUUCUUAGUUGGUGGAGUGAUUUGUCUGGUUAAUUCCGAUAACGAACGAGACUCUAGCCUACUAAAUAGAUCGUCGGCUUACAAACGCCGGCGAGACUUCUUAGAGGGACAGGCGGUGAUUCAACCGCACGAAACAGAGCAAUAACAGGUCUGUGAUGCCCUUAGAUGUCCGGGGCCGCACGCGCGCUACACUGAAGUGAUCAGCGUGCUUUUUCAACCUACUCUGUCAAGAGUGGGGAACCCAAUGAACCUUCUUCGUGAUUGGGAUAGGGGAUUGUAAUUAUUCCUCUUGAACGAGGAAUUCCCAGUAAGCGCGAGUCAUAAGCUCGCGUUGAUUACGUCCCUGCCCUUUGUACACACCGCCCGUCGCUACUACCGAUUGAAUGUUUU
rnacentral:rRNA from 1 species